rnacentral:sRNA from 1 species
GUGAGGCACUUGGGCCGUUAACGAGCCUUGAGACCUCCGGCGUUUCGGGGAGGAAACGCCCGCUUGGAUCGAGUACCGAGGAAAAGCCGGACCCGUCGCGAUUAUCCCCCGCGACGGGUUUGGUGUUUCUGGG